AAUGCCCUGCUGGGCACGUGAUACGCGCACCAGUUUUGAGCCAACACCUUCUCUGAGGGAGCCAAUCUUUUGGCGGGAGAUCCGCCCCGGUCUCGGGGCCCCCGACAGGUAGGCACCCACCUGCAUCGGCAGGACCUCAAAUCACGCGCGUUACACGGUUCGGCGGGGCAUCA
rnacentral:other from 1 species